rnacentral:lncRNA from 1 species
CCCCCCUAUAUAUGAUAAAAAGCCUAACCAAAGGAUGCAUCAUCUUCUAGAAGCAAUGUUAGUACCAAUGCUUUGGAGAAGAACUUGAGUUUAUAAAUCAUCUCUUAGUCAACAUGAUUUCACCAUCUAAUUCACAUAGCUGACACUAACAGAUAUUCUCUUGUUCGCGAAGGCGAGUCCUUCCAGAGGGAACCAUGAAAUGUUCUCCCUUACAAAAAUAGUUCAAUGCU